rnacentral:rRNA from 1 species
UACGGGGGGGGCAAGCGUUGUUCGGAAUUACUGGGCGUAAAGGGUUCGUAGGUGGCUUGCUAAGUCAGACGUGAAAUCCCUCAGCUUAACUGGGGAACUGCGUCUGAUACUGGCGAGCUUGAGUGCAGGAGAGGAACGCAGAAUUCCAGGUGUAGCGGUGAAAUGCGUAGAUAUCUGGAGGAAUACCGGUGGCGAAGGCGGCGUUCUGGACUGCAACUGACACUGAGAAGCGAAAGCAUGGGGAGCGAACAGG